rnacentral:rRNA from 1 species
UACAGAGGUCUCAAGCGUUGUUCGGAUUCAUUGGGCGUAAAGGGUGCGUAGGUGGCGCGCUAAGUCAGGUGUGAAAUUUCGGAGCUUAACUCCGAAACUGCAUUUGAUACUGGCGUGCUUGAGGACUGGAGAGGAGACUGGAAUUCAUGGUGUAGCGGUGAAAUGCGUAGAUAUCGUAAGGAAGACCAGUGGCGAAGGCGGGUCUCUGGACAGUUCCUGACGCUGAGGCACGAAGGUCAGGGGAGCAAACGGG